UAGCCCACCUACUUGUAGCCAGUGUUCAAACCUUCUGUGACUUUUUCUCCCGACAACUUUUGAGGUCUUUCUUCUGAAAAAAGAAGAAAUAGACAAACCAGAUUUGUCCUCUUGGAAAUGUGGUCCAGAUUUCUCUACUCCCAAUCUCCAAAACA
ensembl:misc_RNA